GUGCUCCAUUCAGUGGCACAUAUACUAAAAUUGGAACAAAUUAGAGAAGAUUAACAUGGCCCCUGCGCAAGGAUGACACACAAAUUUGUGAAGUGUUCCAUAUUAAA